UCAGCUUUCGACGGUAGGGUAUUGGCUUACCGUGGCAGUGACGGUUAACGGGGGAUUAGGGUUCGAUUCCGGAGAGGGAGCCUGAGAAACGGCUACCACAUCUAAGGAAGGCAGCAGGCGCGCAAAUUACCCAAUCCUAACAGCACAAGGGAGGUAGUGACAAGAAAUAACAAUACAAGGCAAUUAAAAUGUUUUGUAAUUGGAAUGAUAGAAAUUUAAACACUUUCUAAAGUAUCAAUUGGAGGGCAAGUCUGGUGCCAGCAGCCGCGGUAAUUCCAGCUUCAAUAGCGUAUAUUAAAGUUGUUGCAGUUAAAAAGCUCGUAGUUGGAUUUCUGUUAAAAAUAACUGGUCUGCUUUUAAUAAAAGUGGUACCUUGGUGUGUUUUUAGCAUUAAUGUCCUAUGAAGUGUUUUUUACUUUAUUGUUAAAAGCAAUAUUCAGGAUUUUUACUUUGAGAAAAUUAGAGUGUUUCAAGCAGGCUAACGUUUUGAAUACUGCAGCAUGGAAUAAUAAAAUAGGAUUUUGGUUCUACAUUAUUGGUUUUAAGAACUAAAUUAAUGAUUAAUAGGGACGGUUGAGGGCAUUUGUAUUUGACUGUCAGAGGUGA
rnacentral:rRNA from 1 species